GAUGAACGCUGGCGGCGUGCCUAAUACAUGCAAGUCGAGCGAACAGACGAGGAGCUUGCUCCUUCGACGUUAGCGGCGGACGGGUGAGUAACACGUAGGUAACCUACCUAUAAGACUGGGAUAACUUCGGGAAACCGGAGCUAAUACCGGAUAAUAUUUCGAACCGCAUGGUUCGAUAGUGAAAGAUGGCUUUGCUAUCACUUAUAGAUGGACCUGCGCCGUAUUAGCUAGUUGGUAAGGUAACGGCUUACCAAGGCAACGAUACGUAGCCGACCUGAGAGGGUGAUCGGCCACACUGGAACUGAGACACGGUCCAGACUCCUACGGGAGGCAGCAGUAGGGAAUCUUCCGCAAUGGGCGAAAGCCUGACGGAGCAACGCCGCGUGAGUGAUGAAGGUCUUCGGAUCGUAAAACUCUGUUAUUAGGGAAGAACAAACGUGUAAGUAACUGUGCACGUCUUGACGGUACCUAAUCAGAAAGCCACGGCUGACUACGUG
rnacentral:rRNA from 1 species